rnacentral:tRNA from 1 species
UCCUUGGUGGCUUAGCUGGUAAAGCAUCUGCCUGCAAUGCAGGUAACCCCGGUUUGAUUCCCGGGUCGGGAA